UCUCCCCCUGAGAAAAUCAUGGAGGGGUGUGAAAUUUUCAUUGUAGGUGGAUGUCCACUUUGAGAGAGAUAAUCUAAAGAAAUAUCUAGAAAUCACAAUGUUUUUUUUUUUUUUUUUUUUUUUUUUAAACGAUGUGUGUGAUACAGCUGCAAAUGAGUAUUUGAACACCUGAGAAAAACAAUGUUAAUAUUUGGUCCAGAUUGCAGAGGUCAAACGUUUCUUGUAGUUGUUCACCAGGUUUGCAGACACUGCAGGAGGGAUUUUGGACCACUCCUUCACACAGAUCUUCUCUAAUAAAUCAUACAGGUUUCUGGGCUGUUGCUGAGCUCCCUCCAAAAUAUUUCUAUUGGGUUUAGGUCUGAAGACUGGCUAGGCCAAGCCAUAAUCUUGAUAUGCUUCUUACAGAGCCACUCCUUGGUUUCCUGCCUGUGCUUCGGGUCUUUGUCAUUUUGAAAGACGCAGCCACUGCCUAUCUUCACUGCUCUGACUGAGGGAAAGAGGUUGUUCCCCAAAAUCUCAGAAUACAUGGCCACAGUCAUCCUCUCCUUAAUACAGUGGAGUCGUCCUGUCCCUUGUGCAGAAAAACACCCCCUAAGCAUGACUCUACCACCUCAAUGCUUCACAGUAGGGAUGGUGUUCUUGGGACGGAACUCAUCAUUCGUCUCCCUCCAAACACGACCAGGCUGAUGUGUUUACACCAGAGUGCUCCUUCAUCUUGUUACAACACUGGUCACCAAACAUUGAGCAGUUGCCACCCUUCUCGGCCAGGAGCAUGUCGACCGCGAUGCGGUUCUGGAACGUCAUGAGUGAGAGUUAUCCAAAACAAGAUGGAUUCCCAUCCAGCACCAAUCUCGUUAACCAACUGACUCUCAUCUGGUACGCCGUUGAAAUGCCAUUUGCAUCAAUGUAUGUCGGACCUCCAUCUUUCCAAGAGGACCUUCACCUUCGGGAGAACCCAAGGGGCGGUCUAAAGAUGGAUGCGGCCAAUUGUAUAUCCUCUGCUAUCGAUGGAAACAGUCACGGAUAAGAGGAGUGAUACCAGUGCACACGUUCCUGCUGCAUUUAUCAGUGUGUCAUACAACUUUUGAUCAACACACCACCACCACACAUCGCUGCAUGGGAGCAGUGGGGCAGUUUGCAGAUGGAUAUCAUGACACCAUGUUUUGUUGAGACUUCCCACGUUAAAAUCUGUCCCUGUAAAGCGAACACAGGAGAAAUUAGCCAAUGCAACAUUAGUAGAAAAUAUCAGUUUAUCAUUGACUGCCUUAGUUCUUGGAUAAACACGUUUCCAUUUCUGACAAGUGGUGUUAGAAGUUGUUUUGGUCAUUACCUCCAGGGUACACUGUGUUGGGAUUUCUGCUAGAAUGACACGGAUUAGUGCCCUAGGGCCCAUGCAUGUGAUGUAACUGUAGUUUCACUUGUUACCUGCAUUCUACAUUAAUAACUAUUUUUUUCCUAUUUGGAAAAAAAAAAAAAAAACCCCAAAUCAUAAUAAUGAAAAAAUCUUUCUCAGGCUUUUUCGGUUAAAAUACUCCCUCCAUAGGAUACAUACUCUUUUUAUGGCAUUCGGGUUCAAGGUAACAUUAAAUUGGCAAAUGGUGAGAAGAAAAUGGGGGUUUCCUUUAGCAUAAGCCCAUAAAUGGAAUCCCCAGCAAUUAGACUCUGCCAAGGAAUUGAAAAAUUGCUUAACUGAUUCAUUGAGAGGCACACAUGGAGUCCUCCCCUCAUCCCUCGGUGACUCCCGCAUAGUUGUUUUCGAAUGUGAUUUGAAAUGAGGUUGCGCCUCUUUAUCUUAUGUGUGGUAGGCAUAGUUGACUGAGUAUAAUUAUUGGUUCUGUUAUGUAUUUUUGUCAGCUUUACAGGUGUCCAAAAGUAGCAUAUGAACAAAAAUAUCAUUACGGCUGUCAAUGUUGCAGCCCAACAUGCUAUCAUAUUAGCCAUUUUGAAGUCAUGUCAACCAACUCACCCUUAAAUGAGUCAAGUGUCUUUUAAAUCUUCACCAGCAUUCAGGUAUUUUCAGAUACUAUGAAUCUACACCCACCAUAUGCUGGACUUUGCUCACCUUUCCCUUUGGUGACUCAGCUGAGAUGACCUUUUACGGUGUGUAAGAUGUAUCCACGUGUUUCUUUCUGCUAUUUUGUCCAUGUCAUUCAGCUACUGCUCAGUCUAUACCUGUGUUCGGGUAAAACUGCAUGUACAGUAGCUGUUAAUUCAUAAACAGACAUAGGAUGAAUAGACAAAUGGCAGUAAUAAAGUGAUUAAAGCACAGUAACUUGUUCCUUUUUUUUCUGAUGGUGUAGUGCAGGGGUGUCAAACUCAUUUCUUGUGUGGGCCACGUUGUAGUUUGGGUUUCCCUCAGAGGGACAUUUUGAU